GACAGAGGAGUCAGGCGCUGGGACGGGGUGCCCAGGGAAGUGUUGGAGUCACCGUCCCUGGGGGUGUUUAAGGAAAGGUUGGACAUGGUGCUUGGGGACAUGGUUUAGUGGGUGACAGUGGUGGUAGGGGGAUGGUUGGACCAGAUGCUCUUGGAGGUCUUUUCCA